rnacentral:rRNA from 1 species
UACGUAGGGUGCAGGCGUUAAUCGGAAUUACUGGGCGUAAAGCGUGCGCAGGUCGGUUUGCUAAGACAGGUGUGAAAUCCCCGGGCUCAACCUGGGAAUGGCCGUUGAAACUGGCGAACUGGAGUGUGGCAGAGGGGGGUGGAAUUCCGCGUGUAGCAGUGAAAUGCGUAGAGAUGCGGAGGAACACCGAUGGCGAAGGCAGCCCCCCUGGGCUAACACUGACGCUCAGGCACGAAAGCGUGGGGAGCAAACAGG